rnacentral:rRNA from 1 species
UACGUAGGGUGCGAGCGUUAAUCGGAAUUACUGGGCGUAAAGCGUGCGCAGGCGGCUGGUCAAGUCCGAUGUGAAAUCUCCCGGCUCAACUGGGAAACUGCAUCGGAAACUGAUCGGCUUGAAGGUGGGAGAGGGUAGUGGAAUUCCCGGUGUAGUGGUGAAAUGCGUAGAGAUCGGGAGGAACACCAGUGGCGAAGGCGGCCCCCUGGGCCGUUCCUGACGCUGAGACGCGAAGGCGCGG